CUGAUAUUCAAUCAUAUGCUACUAGUCUUCGAUGUAAUUUAGCUAAAACUGCUGAUCCUAUAUUGUUUGCAACUCCUAAAAUAACCACUAAACAAGGUUGACCUGCUGUAAUUUUUAGUGAGGAAGACUUUAUGAUAAGUUUCCUGAUAGGUGAAGUUUACUUUAAUUGGCAAGUUCUGUAGCUCAAUGCCUAGAGUUGAGCUGAUUAGAAAGAGUUUUAUCAACAAAACUCAGUUAUCCGGAGGAG
rnacentral:misc_RNA from 1 species